AUGCAUUCCGCCGCCAGUGAUUAUACCCCUGUUUCUCCCCUUCUUUUCCUUCUAUAAUCACCAUUCUCACUAUCAAAAUUAGGUGUUGUUUAAUUCUAUCAUGUGACGGUGGUUACAUGUGCUCCAAAUAGCCGAGACAACAUCUGAGAACACAUCUAUAGUAACGAUGACGGUGAUUUAUUCCGGUGAAGAUUCUAGAGUUCCGAUGACAUCAGCUUCUCUGACAAGCUUCGGGUAACCCAUGAUGACCACCGACGAAGAUGGUUCAAGACGCCGACAACUGCUCCGGUGACGACGACCGUUAUCAAUCAUCUACAAUGUCGUUGCUGGUGCUUCUUCUGGGUUAUUGUUGCUACUUUCUAAUGUCCUUUAGAUGGAAUCAAAAUGAGGUUUCCGGCUCAUGGUCUUCCGCACGGUGGAACUAAGAUGUUCUUGGGUUUGAGAUUGUGUUCUUUUAUAUGGUAGAUCCUCCUCCUAACACUACAACCUUGACUACAAGAUUCAGCUCUUUAGUCUUGUUUUGUUCCUGUUGUAGUAUUACUUGUAAAAGUUAUUAGCAAUACUAUAGAGUUCAUACACUUUGUUGAAAUUCGUGAUAAGGUCUUGCUUUCUGCAACACGCACAGACCCGUUAUGCAACUGUGAACUCUGUCAGUUUUGUUCGUUUGUUUCUGUUCGAUUGUAGAGGUAAUUAAUGCAGUCCUCCAUUUCGGUUUUGUA
rnacentral:lncRNA from 1 species